CAUACUUCAUCACUGUGCUGCAACAUGACUCCCAUCUGUCAAGGAAAUGGCAGAUAACUGAGGCUGACUGAUCAAGAGACUGCUUACGAACCAGCAAGAAAAGAAGCCGCACUCAGAAACCACUGCUGCCUAUUUAAUUUUUAAGAAAAAGAAGUCUUGAGCUGUGUUUUUGAGAAGCUUCAGUGCCUCUGUACUCAGCCUUGAAGUCUGACAGAUAAACCUUUGUGGUGUUGCUGAGACAACCCAUGCAAAUCUGGC